ACUCCUCGAAAUGUAUUUAGGUACAGCCUCGAGCCAUAGUCAGCAGCCGGUAGAGCACUGAUUGGGCUAGGGCCCUUCACCGGGUACCAAACCCAGACAAACUCCGAAUGGCAGUCUGAUGUUCCUCGGGAGUGAGGCGGUGGGGGAUAAGCUCCAUUGCCAAGAGGGAAACAACCCAGAUCGCCGUCUAAGGCCCCAAAGUCGAUGCUAACAGAGAAAGGAUGUUGCGUUACUGAGACAACCAGGAUGUUGGCUUAGAAGCAGCCACUCAUUUAAAGAGUGCGUAAUAGCUCACUGGUCAAGUGACGCAGCGCCAAUAAUGAUCGGGACUAAGCAUCGCGCCGAAGACGCGAGUUCUUCAUUCAUUUGAAGAGCGGUAGAGGAGCAUUCUGUGGGCGCCGAAGCGGGAAGGUGACUAACCGUGGAGCGCACAGAAGAGAAAAUGUUGGCAUAAGUAACGAUAACGGAAGUGAGAAUCUUCCGCGCCGAAAGUCUAAGGGUUCCUAUGCAACGUUCGUCGACAUAGGGUUAGCCGGCCCCUAAGGCGAGGCCGCAAGGCGUAGCUGAUGGGAAUCAGGUUCA
rnacentral:rRNA from 1 species